rnacentral:rRNA from 1 species
GACGAACGCUGGCGGCGCGCUUAACACAUGCAAGUCGAGCGAAGCGGCGGACGGGUGAGUAACACGUGAGUAACCUGCCUUAGACAUUGGGAUAGCCUCGGGAAACCGGGAUUAAUACCAAAUGGUCUAAGAUGGACUCGCGUCCCAUUAGCUAGUUGGUGAGGUAACGGCCCACCCAGGGGACGAUGGGUAGCCGGCCUGAGAGGGUGAACGGCAACAUUUGAACUGAGACACGUCCCAGAUUCUACGGGAGGCAGCAGUGGGGAAUAUUGCACAAUGGGCGAAAGCCUGAUGCAGCGACGCCGCGUGAACGAAGAAGGCUUUCGAGUCGUAAAGUUCUUUUAUAUGGGAAGCGGUACCAUAAGAAAAAGCCCCGGCUAACUACGUGCCAGCAGCCGCGGUAAUAC